rnacentral:piRNA from 1 species
AGAGGUGGGGGUGCAGUACCAGGAAAGG